UCUCGGAAGAUUGCUCCGCCCAACGGCUGGGAUCCCGCCUCCUCCUACGCUUCCUCCUCCUCGCGCUCGUGGGGUGCACGCUCCCCACCUUCUCGCUAUUGAUUUUCUCCCCGAUGCUUCAGCUAUUGGCUGCAGAGAUUUGGAUGGAGAAAAGGCAACUGAAACACAGGAGCCCAUUACAGCCGCAGGUUUGUUUCCGAACCGCUUUAUUGCCAUCUAGCGGUGGUUCCACGUGCACCCAGCGUCGAGACUUCUGGCCUCCAGGUCUCAAGAUACUGAGGAACGGAGGGGACUCCCCUUGAUCCGGCUUGCAAAG